GCCGAGGUUGCCGAGUGGACUAAGGCGUCGGCCUUGAGAGCCGAUGCCCCUUUGGGGCGCGUGGGUUCAAAUCCCACCCUCGGCG
rnacentral:tRNA from 1 species